GGGGCUGAUUCUGGAUUCGACGGGAUUUGCGAAACCCAAGGUGCAUGCCGAGGGGCGGUUGGCCUCGUAAAAAGCCGCAAAAAAAUAGUCGCAAACGACGAAAACUACGCUUUAGCAGCUUAAUAACCUGCUUAAAGCCCUCUCUCCCUAGCCUCCGCUCUUAGGACGGGGAUCAAGAGAGGUCAAACCCAAAAGAGAUCGCGCGGAUGCCCUGCCUGGGGUUGAAGCGUUAAAACGAAUCAGGCUAGUCUGGUAGUGGCGUGUCCGUCCGCAGGUGCCAGGCGAAUGUAAAGACUGACUAAGCAUGUAGUACCGAGGAUGUAGGAAUUUCGGACGCGGGUUCAACUCCCGCCAGCUCCACCA
rnacentral:tmRNA from 6 species